UCUGGUGGUUAUAGCGAAAGGGUUCCACCUCUUCCCAUUCCGAACAGAGAAGUUAAGCCUUUCUGCGCCGAUGGUACUGCCCCAAGCGGGUGGGAGAGUAGGUCGCUGCCUGAU
rnacentral:rRNA from 1 species